CGGCGAGUGAAGCGGCAAGAGCUCAAAUUUGAAAUCUGGCCUCCUCCGGGGGUCCGAGUUGUAAUUUGUAGAGGAUGCUUCGGGUGCGGCCGCCGUCUAAGUUCCUUGGAACAGGACGUCAGAGAGGGUGAGAAUCCCGUCUUGGGCGGCCGGCGCGCGCCCGUGUGAAGCUCCUUCGACGAGUCGAGUUGUUUGGGAAUGCAGCUCUAAGCGGGUGGUAAAUUUCAUCUAAAGCUAAAUACUGGCCGGAGACCGAUAGCGCACAAGUAGAGUGAUCGAAAGGUUAAAAGCACCUUGAAAAGGGAGUUAAACAGCACGUGAAAUUGUUGAAAGGGAAGCGCUUGCGGCCAGACUCGGGGGGCGGGGUUCAGCGGGCGCUCGUCGCCCGUGCACUCCCCGCGUUCCCGGGCCAGCAUCAGUUUCGACGGCCGGUCAAAGGCCCCCGGAAUGUGUCGUCUCUAGGGACGUCUUAUAGCCGGGGGUGCAAUGCGGCCCGUCGGGACUGAGGAACGCGCUCCGGCUCGGAUGCUGGCGUAAUGGUCGUAAGCGGCCCGUCUUGAAACACGGACCAAG
rnacentral:rRNA from 1 species